rnacentral:rRNA from 1 species
UACGUAGGGCGCAAGCGUUAUCCGGAAUCACUGGGCGUAAAGCGUGCGUAGGCGGUUGGUUAAGUCUGCUGUGAAAGCCCUGGGCUCAACCUGGGAACUGCAGUGGAUACUGGCCAGCUAGAGUGUGAUAGAGGAUGGUGGAAUUCCCGGUGUAGCGGUGAAAUGCGUAGAGAUCGGGAGGAACACCAGUGGCGAAGGCGGCCAUCUGGAUCAACACUGACGCUGAGGCACGAAAGCGUGGGGAGCAAACAGGG